GCCCACUACUCCUUUAGUCCUUAGCACCGUUUAAGAUCGAUCAACUCAAACUUAUUGCUUCAGGAAGCUCAACCAUCGUCCUUACAUCUACCAACUCAGUUAAUAAAUGAUUUCAAUCUAGAUCUUUGUUCUCAAUCGGUUUUAAUUGUUAUGGUUACUCUAAUUGAUAAUUGUAUGCCUCUCCGUAAUUACCAUCAUAUCACUGAUAAUCUUCUCCAUCAGGCCAGUAUCUAUCGUGAAGAGAAGAAUGUUGUAGACUUGAAUCACGCUUCCUAUAUACUGCAGGCGAGGAAAAAAAUAUCACUAUAUGUUCUUCUAAAAUUUUGUAUUUGAAAUUUCCAUGGUUACAAAUUUUGUUCCUUUCUCGCUCUUAAUAGUUUCUUUAAUAACUUAAUAAAGCCGGCGAUGAAUCCUUUAUUGUUGGAAGUGGUUUCCGGUGGUAUCAUAUAGUUAAGAUUCGGUUGAAUGUCUUCCUGUCCACCUAGAUUCAUACUCCAGACCUGAUAUUAACAAGGUUUAGGAAUUAUAAUUAGCAUUUUGUUGACUUUAUCAUUGCAUCUUCAAAAUACAUCUGCUUUCUUACCAGUAUUGUAUUGUAUUUCUUUUCUUUUAUUUUUCCUCUAGAUCAUGCAGCUGGUAAGGCCGACAACAUCUCAAGACAAGUUACUAUUAUCGGCCCAGCAAACAUUAAACUAAACUAACCGAAUGUGUUUAUAAACCUGCAUGUAACAAGAAAACUGUUGGUCCUGGAGCACCUUUUACGAAAGAGUCUCUUGCUGAAGCUAAGAGAAAAUUAGAAGGCUCGGACAAGAAAGAUAGGGAAAGAAGAAGAACGCCUGAGUUGAAAAACAACCUUGAAUCUUAUGUUUAUGCUACCAAAGAGAAGCUAGAAAUACCCGAAUUUGAAAAGGUUUCCACCCAAGAAGAGCGCAAGACGUUUGUUGAGAAGCUUGAUGAGGC